GACGAACGCUGGCGGCGUGCUUAACACAUGCAAGUCGAACGGUAAGGCCCUUCGGGGUACACGAGUGGCGAACGGGUGAGUAACACGUGGGUGAUCUGCCCUGCACUUCGGGAUAAGCCUGGGAAACUGGGUCUAAUACCGGAUAGGACCACUGCCUGCAUGGGUGGUGGUGGAAAGCUUUUGCGGUGUGGGAUGGGCCCGCGGCCUAUCAGCUUGUUGGUGGGGUGAUGGCCUACCAAGGCGACGACGGGUAGCCGGCCUUAGAGGGGGACCGGCAACACUGGGACUGAGAUACUGCCCAGACUCCUACGGGAGGCAGCAGUGGGGACUAUUGCACAAUGGGCGCAAGCCUGAUGCAGCGACGCCGCGUGAGGGAUGACGGCCUUCGGGUUGUAAACCUCUUUCAGCACCGACGAAGCGCAAGUGACGGUAGGUGCAGAAGAAGGACCGGCCAACUACGUGCCAGCCGCCGCGGUAA
rnacentral:rRNA from 1 species